AAUAGAUACCCAGGUAGUCCACGCCGUAAACGACUGAGUGCUAAGUGUUAGGGGGUUUCCGCCCCUUAGUGCUGCAGCUAACGCAUUAAGCACUCCGCCUGGGGAGUACGGUCGCAAGACUGAAACUCAAAGGAAUUGACGGGGGCCCGCACAAGCGGUGGAGCAUGUGGUUUAAUUCGAAGCAACGCGAAGAACCUUACCAGGUCUUGACAUCCCAUUGACCGCUAUGGAGACAUGGCUUUCCCUUCGGGGACAGUGGUGACAGGUGGUGCAUGGUUGUCGUCAGCUCGUGUCGUGAGAUGUUGGGUUAAGUCCCGCAACGAGCGCAACCCUUGUUCUUAGUUGCCAUCAUUUAGUUGGGCACUCUAAGGAGACUGCCGGUGACAAACCGGAGGAAGGUGGGGAUGACGUCAAAUCAUCAUGCCCCUUAUGACCUGGGCUACACACGUGCUACAAUGGACGGUACAAACGGUUGCCAACCCGCGAGGGGGAGCUAAUCCGAUAAAACCGUUCUCAGUUCGGAUUGUAGGCUGCAACUCGCCUAC
rnacentral:rRNA from 1 species